CGAGCGAACGGACGAGAAGCUUGCUUCUCUGAUGUUAGCGGCGGACGGGUGAGUAACACGUGGAUAACCUACCUAUAAGACUGGGAUAACUUCGGGAAACCGGAGCUAAUACCGGAUAAUAUUUUGAACCGCAUGGUUCAAAAGUGAAAGACGGUCUUGCUGUCACUUAUAGAUGGAUCCGCGCUGCAUUAGCUAGUUGGUAAGGUAACGGCUUACCAAGGCAACGAUGCAUAGCCGACCUGAGAGGGUGAUCGGCCACACUGGAACUGAGACACGGUCCAGACUCCUACGGGAGGCAGCAGUAGGGAAUCUUCCGCAAUGGGCGAAAGCCUGACGGAGCAACGCCGCGUGAGUGAUGAAGGUCUUCGGAUCGUAAAACUCUGUUAUUAGGGAAGAACAUAUGUGUAAGUAACUGUGCACAUCUUGACGGUACCUAAUCAGAAAGCCACGGCUAACUACGUGCCAGCAGCCGCGGUAAUACGUAGGUGGCAAGCGUUAUCCGGAAUUAUUGGGCGUAAAGCGCGCGUAGGCGGUUUUUUAAGUCUGAUGUGAAAGCCCACGGCUCAACCGUGGAGGGUCAUUGGAAACUGGAAAACUUGAGUGCAGAAAUUUCUUUUGUACGAGGCAAAGUCGGAAUUCCCAUUAUGUGAGCUGAUGCAAAUGACGCAGAAGAUAUUGGAGGGAACACCCAGUGGGUGAAGGGGGAAUUUUAUUGGUUCUGUAACUGGACGGUUGAUGUUGCGAAUAGGGUGGGGAUCAAACAAGGAUUAGAUACCCUGGUAGUCCACGCCGUAAACGAUGAGUGCUAAGUGUUAGGGGGUUUCCGCCCCUUAGUGCUGCAGCUAACGCAUUAAGCACUCCGCCUGGGGAGUACGACCGCAAGGUUGAAACUCAAAGGAAUUGACGGGGACCCGCACAAGCGGUGGAGCAUGUGGUUUAAUUCGAAGCAACGCGAAGAACCUUACCAAAUCUUGACAUCCUUUGACAACUCUAGAGAUAGAGCUUUCCCCUUCGGGGGACAAAGUGACAGGUGGUGCAUGGUUGUCGUCAGCUCGUGUCGUGAGAUGUUGGGUUAAGUCCCGCAACGAGCGCAACCCUUAAGCUUAGUUGCCAUCAUUAAGUUGGGCACUCUAAGUUGACUGCCGGUGACAAACCGGAGGAAGGUGGGGAUGACGUCAAAUCAUCAUGCCCCUUAUGAUUUGGGCUACACACGUGCUACAAUGGACAAUACAAAGGGCAGCGAAACCGCGAGGUCAAGCAAAUCCCAUAAAGUUGUUCUCAGUUCGGAUUGUAGUCUGCAACUCGACUACAUGAAGCUGGAAUCGCUAGUAAUCGUAGAUCAGCAUGCUACGGUGAAUACGUUCCCGGGUCUUGUACACACCGCCCGUCACACCACGAGAGUUUGUAACACCCGAAGCCGGUGGAGUAACCUUUUAGGAGCUAGCCGUCGAAGGUGGGACAAAUG
rnacentral:rRNA from 1 species